rnacentral:rRNA from 1 species
AGUGAACGCUGGCGGUAGGCCUAACACAUGCAAGUCGAACGGCAGCACAGUAAGAGCUUGCUCUUACGGGUGGCGAGUGGCGGACGGGUGAGGAAUACAUCGGAAUCUACUUUUUCGUGGGGGAUAACGUAGGGAAACUUACGCUAAUACCGCAUACGACCUACGGGUGAAAGCAGGGGAUCUUCGGACCUUGCGCGGUUGAAUGAGCCGAUGUCGGAUUAGCUAGUUGGCGGGGUAAAGGCCCACCAAGGCGACGAUCCGUAGCUGGUCUGAGAGGAUGAUCAGCCACACUGGAACUGAGACACGGUCCAGACUCCUACGGGAGGCAGCAGUGGGGAAUAUUGGACAAUGGGCGCAAGCCUGAUCCAGCCAUACCGCGUGGGUGAAGAAGGCCUUCGGGUUGUAAAGCCCUUUUGUUGGGAAAGAAAAGCAGCAGGUUAAUACCCCGCUGUCCUGACGGUACCCAAAGAAUAAGCACCGGCUAACUUCGUG